rnacentral:lncRNA from 1 species
CGGUGGCUUGCAAGCAACUCAUUGUACUUUGGUGCCGGACUACCUGGAUUUCUAAUCCAGCGACGGAAGGUUUCUGGGUCCAGUCAAGUACUUGUGGUAGUCAGUUGCAGAUCAAGAUAGGAUUGACCUCCCUUAGAAAUAAGGGUGAAUGCCUUGUGUUUUCAAUUAAGUAGUACCCUGGCCAGGGAAAGUUAAAUCACUAUCACUUGACUUAUUGAAUUGAAACAUAUUUCCGGAUGGAUCGUUUCAGGGUAGACAGACUCUGAACCCACCCUGGGCAUUUUCUGAUCAAGAGGAUGAAUUAUGCGGUAACCAUAGUCCAUAGGUUCUAGAAUGUUGCUUUGCAUCUAUUCGGCCUAUCCGGUCGUCGGGUCCCAUUGCUAGAUAGUUACUUCGAUUAGUGCAGGAAGUGUUCUUGUACAACCGACUUAGGUUCGAACCUGUGAGGUCACACGCUUAGAAGUUUCUAGAUUGAUCAAAUGGUUGAUUGACGAUUGAGAAUCGUCUAGAGGUAAAAUAGUCAAUGUGAUUGACUGAUUGCCCUAAGCAAUUGUUGCUUGGAGAAGUUAAUUGGUGAUUGGAUCACUGAUUAGACUCAAUUUGAUUGAGUAAUAGAGAUUGGGCUUGACCAAAUUCAAAUAUGAUUUGAAACUGGUAAAACUGUAAUUGACACCAAAAUUGGUUUGGUGAAAAUGUCUAAUUUGCCCCCAACCAAAUCAGAUUUGGCUUGAGUCAAAUUGGAUUAAAAUCAAUUAUGAUCCUAGUAUGACUAGGACUUCCUUCCCUAUGUGGGACCCACACACUGUAUGUGGGACCCACGUCCUGCCUAGGUGGGACCCACAUACUGUAUGUGGGACCCACGUCCUGCAUUUAUGAGAUCCACAUACUGUAUGUGGGACCCACAUCCCGGCCACCUCACCCCUUUGCAUGCGUGACACGUGGCGGAGCAGGACACCUCUUUUGCUUGCAUGCGUGACACGUGGCGGAGCAGGACACCUCUUUUACUUGCAUGUGU